rnacentral:rRNA from 1 species
UACGUAGGGCGCAAGCGUUGUCCGGAAUUAUUGGGCGUAAAGAGCUCGUAGGCGGCUUGUCACGUCGAUUGUGAAAGCCCGAGGCUUAACCUCGGGUCUGCAGUCGAUACGGGCUAGCUAGAGUGUGGUAGGGGAGACUGGAAUUCCUGGUGUAGCGGUGAAAUGCGCAGAUAUCAGGAGGAACACCGGUGGCGAAGGCGGUUCUCUGGGCCUUACCUGACGCUGAGGAGCGAAAGCAUGGGGAGCAAACAGG